ACCCCUUCGAGGGCACAGUUCCCACUAGGAACUCGGCCCCACCUCCGCCCCAGAUCCGGCAGAUGGCCCAGUUGUUAAUAGCUGUGAGUUAUUAGAUAGGCCUCUGCCUUCCCCAGUCUGCCAGCUGCUGCCUCGCCUGCUCCAUUCCUCCAGCCCCUGCACUGCCACGAGUCCUCUCCACCUGGCUACCCAUCUCUGCCCCCGCUACCAGAUGAAUGUUUCUUCUUUAACUACUUGGUUGUCAGACUUCCAUACAGUUCAAUUUUUGUCA